rnacentral:rRNA from 1 species
GUGCCUCCCUAGCGAACACCCUUGGUUUCCCGACAUCGUUGGGGCGGCCCGUCGUUCUUUUCUCACGGCGACGUAAAAACUCACUUGGGCUAACAAACGUCGGGCUAAACCAACGCAACAAAAAACCGGCGUGAAAUGCGCCAAGGAACAUGAAAGAGAGUGCGCUCUUCUGGUGUCAGCAGUGCUGCGCCAGGAUGAGCGUUGUCUUCUUGAUGAGUUUAUAAUGACUCUCGGCAACGGAUAUCUCGGCUCUUACAUCGAUGAAGAACGUAGCAAAAUGCGAUACUUGGUGUGAAUUGCAGAAUCCCGUGAACCAUCGAGUCUUUGAACGCAAGUUGCGCCCGAAUCCUUUUGGUCGAAGGCACGUCUGCCUGGGUGUCACGU